rnacentral:rRNA from 1 species
UACGAAGGGGGCUAGCGUUGCUCGGAAUCACUGGGCGUAAAGGGCGCGUAGGCGGCCAUUCAAGUCGGGGGUGAAAGCCUGUGGCUCAACCACAGAAUUGCCUUCGAUACUGUUUGGCUUGAGUAUGGUAGAGGUCAGUGGAACUGCGAGUGUAGAGGUGAAAUUCGUAGAUAUUCGCAAGAACACCAGUGGCGAAAGCGGCUCACUGGACCAUUACUGACGCUGAGGCACGAAAGCUAGGGGAGCAAACAGG